rnacentral:lncRNA from 1 species
UUACAGGCUUUGGGAAGAUGCAACUUGUCCAAUUUACAUGAUGUCUGGAAGUAACACCAGGUAUUCUGGGGAGUAGUAUUUACUCCUCCUCUGCCAUCUUUCUUCUGUGACAAAUUCAAUGUUUAUUAUUCUACAUAUUUGGUUCUUAUUAAAGAUCUUCCCUGUAUUGAAUAUCAAAAACAUAUUCCACUACUUGGAAAGAAGCUUCUUCAGGAGAAGAGUAAAGUGAUUCCCGUGGAUUUAUAAAAAUAAAACAAAAAUUGACAUUACA